UGGGGGUUGGCCGGUUAAGUGAAUACUUUGCCACAGACUUAGAAAUUGAUUAAGCUGGGCUAAGAUUCACUUAAGCUGGACGCUUCAAUUAUU
rnacentral:pre_miRNA from 12 species